GACAGAGGAGGCAAGCGUUGUCCGGAUUAACUGGGCGUAAAGCGUCCGCAGGUGGCACGGUCAGUGGGGUGUGAAAGCCGGUGGCUUAACCGCCGGAGGCCAUCCCAAACUGCCGCGCUGGAGUCGGGCAGAGGGUGCCGGAAUUGCCGGUGUAGUGGUGAAAUGUGUAGAGAUCGGGAGGAACACCGGUGGCGAAGGCGGGUCUCUGGGCAAUUCCUGACGCUGAGGCGCGAAAGCGUGGGGAGCAAACGGG
rnacentral:rRNA from 1 species